GACGAACGCUGGCGGCGUGCUUAACACAUGCAAGUCGAACGGAAAGGCCCUGCUUGCAGGGUACUCGAGUGGCGAACGGGUGAGUAACACGUGGGUGAUCUGCCCUGCACUUCGGGAUAAGCUUGGGAAACUGGGUCUAAUACCGGAUAGGAGCCAUCUUUAGUGUGGUGGUUGGAAAGUUUUUUCGGUGUAGGAUGAGCUCGCGGCCUAUCAGCUUGUUGGUGGGGUAAUGGCCUACCAAGGCGGCGACGGGUAGCCGGCCUGAGAGGGUGUACGGCCACAUUGGGACUGAGAUACGGCCCAGACUCCUACGGGAGGCAGCAAUGGGGAAUAUUGCACAAUGGGCGCAAGCCUGAUGCAGAGACGCCGCGUGGGGGAUGAAGGCCUUCGGGUUGUAAACUCCUUUCGCUAGGGACGAAGCUUUGUUGUGACGGUACCUAGAUAAGAAGCACCGGCUAACUACGUG
rnacentral:rRNA from 1 species